rnacentral:rRNA from 1 species
UACGUAGGGGGCAAGCGUUGUCCGGAUUUAUUGGGCGUAAAGAGCGUGUAGGCGGCCACACAGGUCUGCUGUGAAAACUCGAGGCUCAACCUCGAGCUGUCGGUGGAAACCGUGUGGCUAGAGUCCGGAAGAGGAGAGUGGAAUUCCCGGUGUAGCGGUGAAAUGCGCAGAUAUCAGGAGGAACACCGGUGGCGAAGGCGGGUCUCUGGGCAACAACUGACGCUGAGGAGCGAAAGCGUGGGGAGCGAACAGG